UUGUUUUUAGUGGCGCACGGGUGAGUAACACGUGAGUUACCUGCCCCCAAGAGUGGGAUAGCCCCGGGAAACUGGGAUUAAUACCGCAUAAUAUCGCAAGAUUAAAGGUGCAAACCGCUUGGGGAUGGGCUCGCGGCCUAUUAGUUAGUUGGUGAGGUAACGGCUCACCAAGGCGAUGACGGGUAGCCGGUCUGAGAGGAUGUCCGGCCACACUGGAACUGAGACACGGUCCAGACACCUACGGGUGGCAGCAGUCGAGAAUCAUUCACAAUGGGGGAAACCCUGAUGGUGCGACGCCGCGUGGGGGAGCGAAGGUCUUCGGAUUGUAAACCCCUGUCAAGUGGGAGCAAAUUAAAAAGAUAGUACCACUAGAGGAAGAGACGGCUAACUCUGUGCCAGCAGCCGCGGUAAUACAGAGGUCUCAAGCGUUGUUCGGAAUCACUGGGCGUAAAGCGUACGUAGGCGGCUUGGUAAGUCGUGUGUGAAAGGCAGGGGCUCAACCUCUGGACUGCACAUGAUACUGCCAGGCUAGAGUAAUGGAGGGGAAACCGGAAUUCUCGGUGUAGCAAUGAAAUGCGUAGAUAUCGAGAGGAACACUCGUGGC
rnacentral:rRNA from 1 species